UUUUUGUUAUUUUCCAUUUUGCUUGAUGUAAACCUUUUAAUCGAUAAAUACCUGCAAUAAACAUAAAAUAUUGCGUAAUAAUAAGUGUUAAUCAAGUAAAAAGCAAUGCAUAUGGAGUCAAAAUUACGACACAUUUUUGCGUUAUCAAACUCCCUCAUACUUAAACCUUUGCUUGUCCUCAAGCAAAUGCCGCGUAUAUGAAAAAAGUUUUGUAAAAUAUUUGCAGCAUACAUUAUCAAGACUCGUAGAAGACACAGUUGCAUUCGGAUACUCAUUCUAGUCUAUAAACUUUACUUUGGUUCAAAAUUAUAUUAACAGGUACUCACUUCCACACUAAGGGUAUCGUUGGAACACAUAGUCGCAUUAUUACAACCAUAAGUUUCCCUCCUAUACAAACCAAUCUGAAUCAUGUUGUCAUGCCUAAGCCUACCUUACUAAACCUUCUUUUUAUCCUUUUUCAUUCUGGCGCAAUCACAUUAAGCACGUUAUCAUUUCACAUUCAUAACAAGAUAAUCUGUUAGUGACUAUGAUCUCAUCAUUAUUUCUUUCUUUCUUUUUCGCACUUUGGCUCAAAUAACAGUUAAAGAUGGUUAUACAGUUGGGCUAAAUGACUGGGCGAGGAUCACAUAACUUAGAGGUAAUAACAUUUUUCAUACAUUUCGUAAUCUUUUCUUCUUUCAAGCCUGAAAUCAUACACUUAUUUGCAUCGUCUUCUUUCGUAGUGUAUGCUUAGGAUGGUGUUGACUGCUAGAUAAACUACUUAAGGAAAUACUAAAGGAUAGAAUUUAAGGUAUGACAUGACAAGUACUCAAAUCGAUCUUAUACUUGGGAGAUUUAAGGUGUUAGAAUGAUACCGAUCUUAUAAAGUUUUUCCAAAUCUCUACAAUUCAACCUUAGUUUUAUUCAUAGUUUAGAACUUUCAAAAGAUGUACUGUAUCUCUAAGUCUAGAUUUUUGAGAAAAACUUUGUAUGGCUUAAGCAAAUAGGAGAAUUAGUAAAUAACGGAAACCACACAUAAAGACUCGACAUCACAUUGAUAUUUAACUCGACUGACACUUUAACAAAAAUAACAAAAGGAAAUAACAAUAACAAUAAUUUAAAUCUACCUAGAAAGCGAUAAAUAAAAGCGGUAAAGCUUCAUCCCCCAUAUUUAAACCUUGCAUUGUCCCCAAUGCAAUGACAUAAGAUAGGAAAUAAAGAUAGAACCUAGGUAUCCUGCUACUGGGGCCUUCUACUACGUGUACGUGCACGUCCACUGUUUCCUGGCUGGUGAGGUGGCGUGUAGUUUUGGAGAUCUUCCACACGCAUUGUCAAUGUUGCCAUUUCAUCGAUCAAGCCAGACAUGUUUUGUUCGGUUCUGAAAGCAUAGUCGUGUUGAUCAUGCUGCAUUUGGCGAAGGAUUUGCAUCAUUUUAGUUUGCUGAGCUUCCAUGUUUUGGAUUUGUAGGUCUCGCUGAGCGUCUAAUUCGCUACGCCGCAGUAGUUCAGCAUAGAUCUCAUCAAGAGUGGUUGGUGCCGCAUUUCUUCUUGGUCUUUGACUGGAGGAUAUACCUGCAACAUUUUCAAAUAACAUGUGUGUGGUGUGUGGGUCAGUAGCGGGAGCAGUUUGCUCUAGAAUGUGAUCCUCAUCGGUGUCCCCGCCAGCAACUACAUUCUUAGGAAUGUGUGCGGGGACUUGGUUAGGCACCGGAUCAUUAGUAUAACAAUAAUUAUCCGGGUUUUGCACAUCUGUGCGAUUUGGAUUUGGGAGGAUAAAAUCUUGUAACACAUUAUUUGCAAUUAUUAAAUUGAAUUUACCGUCACUUUUUCGUUUUACUAGUUUCAUGCUCCUUGCCAUGUCAAUGUCAAUGUCAAUGGCAUGAUGCGGGAGUGGGGUUUGCCUGGAGAAUUUUUCUUCGAGUCCUAGGACUCUAGCUAUGGAGGUUAUUAAACCUCCAAAAAUAAUCGCCCGUCACUUCGCAUUGACAAUGGCCUGUAUGUGAGAUAGCAUAAAAGGGACGGUAUUCACCUUUUUGUGGCAAAAAUGUGGCGAAUAAAUAAAAGAGUUCUUUUUCAUUCACCUUGUUAGAAUUUGCUCAGCCAAAAAUGGUGGACGCCAAUAUUUGGCGGAAAAAUCGAAUAGUUGGGUUGUGAAUUAAAGUGGCUCUGUUUCCCUCAAAGCUAUGGUUACUGUACCAGUUAUUACCCUCCAAAAUUGUUGGAAGGCGUGUUGCCAACCCUCAAUAUCUGGGACCUCACUUACUACUUCAUCCCCAUGGAGAAAUUGUAGCAGGUCCACAAGUUGGGAAAAUGUAAAAGCAUAUUCUAUGUUGAACAAGCGAAACUGGACAGUCCCACUGGAACAGUUUGUGUUGGGUGUGAGACUAAAAAUUAACGAACUUAGAAAUUCUAGUGUUAAUUGAGCAUAGACAGGGUCCUUAAAAGAUAGGAAAUGAUUUAAAUUUAAAGUGUCUAGCAUAUAGUUAACACUAUCUAAAAUUCCUAAGGCAAAUAAGCAGGGUUCAUCAGCAUACCUUGUUGAUUCAAUUUUUCUUGUGCUCAGAGUCGUGUAUGUCUCUUCUUGCAAUUCACCUGGUUCGCCGUUUCUGAACACUAUUUUGUAUUCCCUCAUCUGUGUCAUGACUAAAUUUCAUAGUACUCGUGUAAUGUAGUAACAAUAUAGCAAGAGAGAGGAUAUUUAUGCUAAUGAGAGGUGUGGUUUUGUGAAAUUAUGUUGGUGGUUUAUAUAGAGAUUGUUGUGGUUGGGAAUUGAUGAAUGAAAUAAAUUUUAUUUAUGGUCUUCAAUGCCAUGUGUCGCACCUCAAAAAUGAUGAUAAUGCGAUCCCUCGCGAUGGGACGCGGAAAAAAUUGUUCGAAACAGAGUCGCCACCGAACUUUAUUCAUUCCAAUGAAGGAAUAGGAAAAUAUCGAGAAACCUUUAAAAUAAGAAUAAUGGUCGUCGCAACCAUAUUCGGGUUCGGGAGUCGAUUACGCAAGGGAAGGUAUUAGCACCCCUUACGUCCGUUGUACUCAACGGGAACCUCUUAGUCUGAUUUUGCUAUUUGACUGUUAAUUGACUGUUUAUCUGGCUUGCUUCGAGUGAUUAGAAUUGAUGAUAGAUAUGGGUGAAGACCUCAGGAGGGGGAAAUGGGAGGUUUUUUAUUAGUGUGCUCGCGAAGAUACAGCAAUCUCCUGCCUACGUAUCCUUAUAGUGCAAUAAGGAAAUCAGAGCAAUCGUAGUUCGGGCAACUACGAUUUUGGGUGUGUUUUGUUUGGAUGAACGACUGUGUAGGUCGGCGUUCUAAAGGCUAAACGCUGGCUUGUCUACUCUCGGGGGAGGCUCUAGCACUGGUUUGUUGUGCGCAUUAGAAAGGAUUGACAGUGUUCUUUUGGCAGGGUUUUGGUCACGCGGGGGUGACAAGUUGAAUUGAUGUGUUUGGUGUUUUGGUUUGGUUUCGAUCGCUCGGGGGCGAGAAGUUAGGUUUAAUUUGUUGGAGGUGUUUUUGGAGAACGACGAAAGGUUGAGCAAUGUGGUGUACACCAAUCGUUCAAUUCUCUCGAGGAGUAAUAAGGCGAACGCCUUUUAUUCCUUUUUCGUUCGAAUUAUUUUAAAGUUUGUGUGUGCUGAAUACGCACGGUACGUGAGGCGUACGCCCCCUACUUGCUUAUUCAAGGAAUAACGAGGCGUACGCCACCUAUUCCCUUAUCCAAGUUUAUUUAGCAUGUUUUAAUCGGAAGUCGAUAAUUUGUGCAAUAUGGCGUUCGCCAAUUAUCCAAAUAAUCGAGAGAUGGUGAGGCGUACGCCUCCCCUCUUUUAUCAUCCGAGGUUUAAAUUGUAAAAGAUAUGUUUUAGAUAUCGGAUUGGUAGGUUUUGAUCGAAAGAUGAUUUGAGUUUAUUCGAUUGUGGUUUUGAAUUGAUGACGAAAAUCCGAGCAAUGAGGCGUACGCCAAUUAUUCGAAUAAUCGAGAGAUAAUGAAGCGGAUGCUCACUAUUCUCCUUUUCAUCUGAAAUAUGGAAUUAAAAGGAUUUGGAAUUUGUAAAAAUGCUUUGAAAUAUUAUAAUUUGAAAUUUAAUUGGGUGACAAGAACUCGCGCAAUAUGGCGUACGCCAAUUGUUCAAGUGCUUGAGAAAUAGUGAAGCGUACGCUUACUAUCUCCUUUUCAUCCCAUGCAUAUGUUUGAAAGAUUCUUUUUGAAAUUGAAUUGGUUUGGGAGAAUGGUUUGAAUAAUUUGAAUUUGGAAAGUGAUUUGAAAUUGUGUAAUUUGAAGUGAAGGUUGAAGUUUUUAGGAAUGACUUGAAAAUGUGUGAUUAUUUUUAAUCGGAUGACAAAAACUCGUGCAAUAUGGCGUACGCCAAUUAUUCGAGUUCUUGAGAAAUAGUGAAGCGUACGCUUCCUAUUUCCUUUUCAUCCCAAAUUUUGUUUAAAACGGAAAAUAGUUUUGAAAUUGAAUGGUUUUUGGAGAAAAUGAUUUGAAAAUGAUUAUGAAUUGACAAGAUUGGAAUGAAUUCGAGUUUGGAAGAGGUUAACAUCAUGAUAAAAUAAUUUAAUCAAUAUUUAAUUGACAAAGGUAUUUGACUAACAUUUAGACAAACUACCUAAUUGACCCAAUCAAAAUCCCAAAUCAAAAUCACUUGAUUAACUAUAAUUUCCAUGGUAGUCAACCGUCACAACCAAAUAAUUUAAACAAACUUUGAAUUAAUCAAUCAAUUUAAUUAACACAAAUUUGAUUUAGAAGUGUCUAAAACAAAGCGGACACAAUGUGCUCAACAUAUCAAAAAUCUCGUACUUGUGAAUCAAAAUUCCAACUUCAUCAUAAUUAAAUCGAAAUCUCAUAGAAAACACCAUGGUUAUGUACACUACCUAUUUACUGCAUGUUAACAACAAUGACUUACAUAUACACUAUAAAAUCCCUUAGGCAAUUGAUAAUCCAAUUUAAAUUUUAGCCAUAAAACAAACAUACAUUUGAGAAAAUCGUGGUAAACCAAUCAUGAGAUUAUUUAGAAUUCUGAUCAUGCCGUGGGCUAAUAACUCAUCUGCACCAACAAUAGUGAUCCAUCCACAAACUAAUCUAAUAAUUCAAAAGCAUAAUUUUAAUACAGUUCCCACUUGAAAUAUCUUCCCAAAUACAAUCCAAACUGAAACUCGCAUAAGUUGUGUAUAAGCAAACACGUUGGUAUUCAUAAUCCAAACCUCAAUUCAAAUGAAAAAUGAACAAGAUACUACAAGCAACUAUAAACUCCACAGGCAAUACAAAACAAAUCCUUUUGAUAUAGCUAAAACAAGUCAUAAUCAAGAGUUGAAUAUGUACAAUAAAAAUGGUAUCAAAGUAUGUCACCGCAAAUUGUGAUUAUAUACAGGGCUGUUGUAGUAUCAACACAAAACGAAACAGUAACGACACAGAGUAACAAUGUUCAUGGAAAAAAUUUACAAUCCUCAACAAAAUUUUCAGCAUACAAUAUGUUGAUACCAUCUACCACCAGAACGAAUCGGGAGGUAAAAAUCACAAACACACACAUCAUCCAGAGAUGUCAAAUACUGUCAUGAAAUAUUCACAAUUCUAAAAUAAGCUUAAAUCGAAUCUGUUACCGUACAGACGGAUAGUCGUCGAGAGCUUACUUCAGGAGUACAUCAUCAGCAACAGCCUGAGAUCUUCCACCCAAUCCUCGUAUCCAUGGUGUUUCAAUAAUCUGCCCGACUUGCUUUGUGGUUGUUGCGGAAGAAGAGGAAUUAGCGCGACUUGAAACCGUUUCCAGAAUCACAAGAAAAUCCUUUUGAAGCUGUCAACGGAAGCAAGCCGUACUCGUCGCCGGUGUUGGACCCAUGGCUCUAAAGCUCACAAACUUUCCCUGAAAAACAGAAAAUUACCAACAGCAUAACAUUUUCAACCAAUCAGUUUAAACAAAUUUUUUUAGAAAUGGUUGAGAGGUGGUGGAUUCGCAGGGGAUCGGUGUUUUGUGGUUGAAGGUGAGGAGUGGGCGGCGGUAGUUUAGGGUUGAAGGGUUAACGGCGCACGGUAGGGGUUUGGUACGGAAGUGGAAAGGGGCAUUGGGGGUUUUCUUUGAGGGUCGCUGGGUUGUUGAAUGGGUGACGGCGAGGAUUUCGAUUAGUGGCGGUGAGGGUUUGCUGAGAUUGAAGCGGCGGCUAGGUUUCGUGGGUUGGAGGAUGAUGAAGAUGGACGGUGAGGUUAGGGCGAUUUCCGGUGGGUGAAAGGGGUUGAGCGCGGUGGCUUGAGGGUGAUCGGAAACGGAGUUGGCCGAUGGAGGAUUUGGAUUUUGUGGAGAGGAGAUUGUGAGAGUGAGGUGAGCGAGUAGUGAAUUUUUCUGAGGGAAGAGGGAAAGGUUAGCGUGAGAGAGUCGUGAGAGAGGCCCCCUUUGCAGAGUGAAUAGUGAAUCCCCUUUAUCUAUUUCUUUUUUUUGUCUUUUUCUUUUCCUUCGUACAGCAGAGAGAGAGCGGAGGUAGUUGUAGUGGAAUAGGGAGUUUGUUAAGAGUGGAGCAGAGAAGGAGGUAGUGGUUUUUGAAUUUUGUUACUGAGUGAAUAAAAUUUUU
rnacentral:lncRNA from 1 species